rnacentral:ribozyme from 13 species
AAUUAAAAGAGACAAAAAAAGAGAUCAAUCAGAAAAAGAAAAGGAACAAGGAAAAGGAGAAACAUCAAUCGAAUUUUGUCUUACAAAAGAAAUCUCUCUUUCUCUCUCUCCCUCCAUUCUCCGAA